UCCGGUCCGCGCAACUGGCGCUUGAAGAUGGAUCACCAUCGGGAAACGCGGACCGCGACAUCAAUCUCGCGAACCGCCGCGCGCCUGGGUAUUGCUG
rnacentral:ncRNA from 2 species